rnacentral:rRNA from 1 species
UACGUAGGGUGCAAGCGUUGUCCGGAAUUAUUGGGCGUAAAGAGCUCGUAGGCGGUCUGUCGCGUCGGCUGUGAAAACCCGGAGCUCAACUCCGGGCCUGCAGUCGAUACGGGCAAACUGGAGUCCUGCAGGGGAGACUGGAAUUCCUGGUGUAGCGGUGAAAUGCGCAGAUAUCAGGAGGAACACCGGUGGCGAAGGCGGGGCUCUGGGCAAUAACUGACGCUGAGGAGCGAAAGCGUGGGGAGCGAACAGG